rnacentral:rRNA from 1 species
UACGGAGGGUGCGAGCGUUGUCCGGAAUCACUGGGCGUAAAGGGCGCGUAGGCGGCCUGAUAAGUAGGGGGUGAAAUCCUGCGGCUUAACCGCAGGGCUGCCUUCUAAACUGUCAGGCUUGAGCACAGUAGAGGCAGGUGGAAUUCCCGGUGUAGCGGUGGAAUGCGUAGAUAUCAGGAAGAACACCUAUGGCGAAGGCAGCACUCUGGGACGGUACUGACGCUGAGACGCGAAAGCGUGGGGAGCGAACAGG